ensembl:miRNA MIR4682 microRNA 4682
UGCCCCUGGUCUGAGUUCCUGGAGCCUGGUCUGUCACUGGGGAAGUCCAGAGCUCCAAGGCUCAGUGCCCAGGGGACGCA